rnacentral:tRNA from 1 species
GUCCUUGUCGAUUAGUGGUUAGAUCAUCACGUUGUGGUUGGCUCCGCAAAUCCGUGAAGACGAAGGCUCGAAUCCUUCCUGGGACA